rnacentral:misc_RNA from 1 species
GAUGAAGAACGUAGCGAAAUGCGAUAAGUAAUGCGAAUUGCAGAAUUUCCGUGAGUCAUCGAAUCUUUGAACGCACAUUGCGCCCACUGGUAUUCCGGUGGGCAUGCCUGUUCGAGCGUCAUUGCUGCCCUCAAGCACGGCUUGUGUGUUGGGCCUCCGUCCUCCUCCCGGGGGACGGGCCCGAAAGGCAGCGGCGGCACCGCGUCCGGUCCACGAGCGUAUGGGGCUUCGUCACCCGCUCUUGUAGGCCCGGCCGGCGCUUGCCGACACAUCAAUCUUUUUUCCAGGUUGACCUCGGAUCAGGUAGGGAUACCCGCUGAACUUAAGCAUAUCAAUAAGCGGAGGA